rnacentral:rRNA from 1 species
AUUGAACGCUGGCGGCAGGCUUAACACAUGCAAGUCGAACGAGUGGCGGACGGGUGAGUAAUGCUUGGGAAUCUAGCUUAUGGAGGGGGAUAACUACGGGAAACUGUAGCUAAUCCCGCGUACCAUAGGAUGAGCCCAAGUGGGAGUAGGUAGUUGGUGCGGUAAAGGCUCACCAAGACGACGAUCUCUAGCUGGUCUGAGAGGAUGACCAUCAACACGGGGACUGAGACACGGCCCAGACUCCUACGGGAGGCAGCAGUGGGGAAUAUUGCGCAAUGGGGGCAAGCUGAUGCAGCCAUGCCGCGUGAAUGAAGAAGGCCUUCGGGUUGUAAAGUUCUUUCAGUAGGGAGGCGGUACCCACAGAAGAAGCACCGGCUAACUCCGUGCCAGCAGCCGCGGUAAUAC